rnacentral:rRNA from 1 species
UACGUAGGGUGCGAGCGUUGUCCGGAUUUAUUGGGCGUAAAGGGCUCGUAGGCGGCCUGUCGCGUCGGGAGUGAAAGCCCACUGCUUAACGGUGGGUCUGCUUCCGGUACGGGCGGGCUAGAGUAUGGCAGGGGAGACUGGAAUUCCUGGUGUAGCGGUGAAAUGCGCAGAUAUCGGGAGGAACACCGGUGGCGAAGGCGGUUCUCUGGGCCUUACCUGACGCUGAGGAGCGAAAGCGUGGGGAGCGAACAGG